rnacentral:rRNA from 1 species
AGCGUGGAUUAGGCAUGCAAGUCGAACGGGAGUCCGGAAGGUAGCAAUAUCGGCCGGUGAGAGUGGCGGAAGGGCGAGGAACACGUGGGCAACCUGUCUCUGAGGUGGGGAAAACCGUUGGAAACGACGGCUAAUACCGAAUGUAGCGCCCGCUCGCAUGAGCGGAGCGCCAAAGGGGGCGAAAGCUCCCCCUCUCCGAGGGGCCCGCGCACCAUCAGCUUGUUGGCGGGUAACGGCCCACCAAGGCUCACGGUUAGCUGGUCUGAGAGGAUGGCCAGCCGCACUGGGACUGAGAUACUGCCCAGACUCCUACGGGAGGCUGCAGUCGAGGAUCAUUUGCAAUGGGCGAAAGCCUGACAAUGCGACGCUGCGUGGAAGGAUGAAGGCCCUCGGGUUGUAAACUCCUGUCAUGGGGGAAAAGGAAACCCUGCCCAAUACGCAGGGAAUUUGAUGGUACCCCAAGAGGAAGCGACGGCUAACUCUGUGCCAGCCGCAGC